AAUUUUCCUAAAAAAAUUAAUUAUUCUCGUUUCGUUGGCAACGCUUUCCCUUCCUCUCGUAAACACUUUUGCAAAAACCCAGUUGUCGUCAUCUCUCUCUCGCGAACGCUCUGAGGUUCAUUAGAACGCAAAAAUUUCCCUCUUGCAAGCGCUCCAGCCACCAUUUGAAGGAGCUCACUAAACGCUUGCGAAAACCCUCACGUCCGCAGUGUUACACGUUUUCCCUUCCUCUCGUAAACAUGCUAAGAAAACGUUCGUCCGGUGCUUUGAUUUUAAUGUUCCCUCCUCCUUCCGAUGGUUUCUCCAUCGUAUCUUCUUAAGCACCACCUCUACAGUCACCCCUGUUUCUGGAAUAGGAUUAGAUUCUGUCACAUUAUACCAAGGUCCAUACGAAGGAGGAAAGCAAGACGCCACCUUAUCCUUCAAGGACGAAGAUUUCGUUAAAAUUGCUUUGGGGAAGAUGAAUCCUCAGAUUGCUUCCUUGAGGAAUAGUCGUCGAAAUGCCGCACAUUUGCAACGCCAUCGAAAUCAAUUUCUGGUUACCUCUGUGAAGCUGUAUUCCGCUGUUUAUUGCUUCUUCUCACUCCCUCCUUUGUUCGCUGUACCUUCUUGAGGAAGAGACAAUUCGUUUAUUCUCACAGAGCUCAGAUGUUUUGUGCUCUUGUCUAAUGUGUCCCAACAUAUGAUCAAGACCUAGUAGAUGAAUCAUUUUCUUCUUUCUAAAGAAUGUUGUAGACGCUAAUCAUUCUUGUGCAUUGUUCUUUGUUCACUUUUUGUUUAGUCAAAAUUUGUGGUGCUAAAAGUUCUUAUAAAAAGAUAUCGUGGUGCCAGUGUAAUAUGAUCUUUAUAGCAUUAGUAUGGAUCUAUUACUUAUACUCAGUAAGCUUAUUAGUGUUGAGUGGUUAUCAAUUGAGUGAAUUUGUGUGUGUGUGGUGGGUAUGGGGUUGGGGUCGUGAAGAGGAAUGCCUGGAAUUUGAAUGGUUAGCAUACUCUUAUUCUUUUUUUUUUCUUUAAUACAUUGUUUUCUCAAUUUUCCACUCUAAUUCUUUGUUUCUAUCAAAUUGGUGUUGGAGCACAUUCAUAAUUGGGAAUGGAUUCAAAAUUGAGGGGAAAAUAGUUGAAACUUGGAAGUGUGUAGUCUGCCAGUAUCCUAUCAAUUGCCUCAUUUGUUUGGAUGCAACUAAGGUUGAGUAUGUUAAUUUCAAUACCUGGGUAAAGUUUCAAGUCUAAUACAAGGAAUUUUAAUACAUGAAACCAGUCUCUGAAUAUUGUCUUCACAUGUUCAUUAAAUGUAAUGGAUUGGUUCCCAACAAGAUCACAAAUGAUGUUAUGAUUUUUGUACAGCAUUUCAUCUGUUUCAUAUCCAAACAAACCAAGUUGUUGGAAACUAAUCGUAAGUCUUAAUGGACCAAAAGUAAGGAAGUUGGAGAACAUGGAACACUCAAGGAUUGAGAUACCUGAAAUCUAGUUUAUCUUGCUUUUUCCUUGAUAUGCUAGAUCUAUUGCUCUAUUAAAAAUUUUGUCUUGAUCAUCACUUAGUUGAGCUCUGGCUGCAUCUAAUGAUGCUAAAAGCAGAUAACUAAGAUUGGUGCUUGAAGAGUUUGUAAACAUCCACAAACUCUUUCUCUGUCUACAAGAUUCCCUGACCAUGUGCAACAUUAAUGAUUGUGUAAGAGAGCAAGGAACCUUGUAAGUCGAUUGGGUCACCAAAUAAGCUCCUUUUUAUAGUGUAGAAAGAGGCAACUGAGGUUGAAACUCAAAGUGUGUCCCAUGAGCCUCGUCAACAAUCAAGGAAAUUCUCUUAACAUGACAUAUAUGAAAAAUUUCACUCAGGCUACUGCAGAUGCCAUGAUAAGUAGAUGAAGUAACAAACACUGCUGCUUUUUAACCUUCUAUUUUUAAGUCCUUGAUUGCUCUAUCUACUUGUGAAUACAAUAAAGAAUUUCACAAAGAGGUAUUAGAUUUGUUGAAAUUGAGGGGAAAAUAGUUCAACCGUUGGUUUUAGGUAUUAGACUUGUUGGUUUCAGACGAUAUUUCUUUUUCUUUUUCUUUUUCUUUUUCUUUUUCUUUUUCUUUUUCUUUUGUUAUCAAAGUCUUAAACAAAGAGGUUACAUCUGGUGUUUAAAUUAGUGUAUGUUAUGUUUCUCCUUAAAAUUCCUUAUUGUUCUUGUGCUAUGAGUGAGGAAAUGUAUGUUGUUUAUGUACUUACUGUUUGCUUGGUGAAUAUGAGCUUUGUUCUUUAAUUUGAUACGUGUAUAUGAGUUCGGUUUAGGGUGGUUUAACAUACUAAAACAAAACUACUCAAUACAGAACCUAAGUAUCUUGUCCCUUUGAUUGCAAACAAGUUUGAUUAAGUUCUAACUUCUGAGAUAUAUAAAUCGUGCAAUAUCGUCUAAUGGACAAAUCAUGGAUGAUAGAAAAUAGGAGGUCUAAGUAGUAUGAAUUGGGAGUGGAAGCGUUCAUUCAAUUUGGUUUUCGUAAUGGCAAAGAUUUCCAGUACUAUUAGGUGUCCAUGUUUUAAAUGUGGGAAACUAUUGCUGCAGGACGAAUCAACAGUUAGAUAUCAUUGGGAUCAAUCAAAGCUAUAAGAUAUGGCUUUGGCAUGGCGACUCUUUUACAUCAGAGAGUUCAUGCAAUCAACAGGCUUACAUGAACGAAAAACGAUCGACGACGAUUUAUUUCAUAGGCUAAAUAUGGUUCAAAAUGUUUGCGAUCAAUUUUCUAAAAUACCUAAUACGUUUGACAAUAUGUUCGAUGAUGCAAAGAAGCCUCUAUUCUCUAGUUGUAAAAGAUUUCACAAAGUUGUCAGCAUUAGUUAGGCUAUAUAACUUGAAGGUUAGAUUUGGACGGAGUAAUGUUAGCUUCUUCGAACUACUAGUAACAAUUAGCGAGUUCUUGCCUAAAAAUAACGAAAUGUCGGUAUCCAUGUAUGAAGCAAAAAAAAAAAAAAAAAAAAAAAAAAAAACGCUUACUGCGUUGGGCCUUAGUUAUCAAAAAAUAGAUGCAUGCCCAAACGAUUGCUGCUUGUAUAGAAAAGAUCUAACAGACAUCAGUAGGUGUCCUAAAUGUAAUAUUUAGAGGUGGAAGACAAGUAAGAACUUAAAUGAAAAGAUUAAGGGAAUUGCAGCUAAACAGUUGUGGUAUUUACCAAUUGUUUAGAGGUUCUUAAGGAUGUUCAAGAAGUUCGAACAUGCAAAGAACUUGUGUUGGCAUGCAAAUGACAAGAAAGUAGAUGGUGUGUUAAGGCAUCCAACUGAUACUCCAUCUUGGAGGUUGGUAGACCAUUUAUGGCCAGAUUUUGGGUUCAAACCGAGAAACCUCUGCUUGGGGUUGUCCACAGAUGACAUCAAUCCAUACGAAGAUUUAUCGACGAAAUAUAGUUGUUGGCCUCUGUGUGGUUGCUACAAUAUACAACCUUCCAUCGGGCUAUGUAUGAGAAGGAAGUGUUUAAUGUUCACUAUGUUAAUCUUAGAACCUAAGCAACCAGGAUACGACAUAAAUGUCUACCUAGCACCUUUGAUUGAUGAUCUCAAACUUAGGUGGGAAGAAGGUGUUCAAUGUUUUAAUGCACAUAAAGAAGAAUUUUUCACCCUACGAGUUGUUUUACUGUGGAUUAUCAAUGAUUUUCCUACAUACGGUAACUUGUCUGGAUGUAGCAUGAAGGGGUAUAAGGCUUGUCUAAUAUGUGGGAAGGAGACUUCUUUUAUAAGACUACCACAUGCGAAGAAAAAUGCAUACAUGGGACAUAGAAAAUACUUACCAAGAUAUCACCCUUAUAGAAGACAAAAGAAAGCAUUUGAUGGUAAUCAGAAGCACGAGAGACCUCCUCUCCCUUUAUCAGGUGAGGCAGUCUAUAAUAGACUUAAGGACAAGACUUUUCCAUGUGGUAAAAAGUCCAGUAGGAGGUUGAAUGAAAAUAUUUCGAACGACUACUGGAAAAGGAUUUAUGCAUUCUAUAAGUCAGUGUACUAGAAAAAAUUUCAUGUAAGACACUAUCUUGAUGUUAAACAUAUUGAGGAAUGUAUUAAUGAAUAUAAUUGGUACACUGCUUGACAUACCAGGGAAGAGUAAGGAUGGACUGAGUUCUAGACUUGAUUUGGUAAAAAAGAACAUUCGACCCAAGUUGGCCCUUGUAUCCGAUGGAAGUAGAACUUACAUACCUGCAGCAUGUUAUACACUGUCAAGGGAGCAGAAGGUCUCUAUUUGCAGAACUUUGUCUGAUCUUAAGGUUCCAGACGGUUAUUCAUCGAAUUUCAGAAGUUUUAUAUCUUUAGAGAACCUAACGCUCUCUGGUCUUAAAUCAUAUGAUUGUCAUGUUCUAAUACAACAACUGCUCCCAAUUGCAAUAUGUGGAGUUUUACCUAAUAAUGUUAGACUAGCUAUAACUAGAUUUUGUUCUUUUUUUAACGUUAUUUGCUCCAAGACUUUGCAAAUAUCAGAUCUAGAUAAAUUGUAGCAAGACGUUAUUGAAACAUUAUGUUUGCUUGAAAAGUACUUUCCACCAUCAUUUUUCACCAUUAUCGUACAUCUAUACAUCCACCUUAUGCUAGAGGCAAAAAUUUGUGGAUCCAUAUACCUAUGGUGGAUGUACCCAUUUGAAAAAUAUAUAAAAGUGCUGAAAAGUUAUGUCCAUAAUAGAAAUUGUCUGGAAGGGUCGAUCGCAGAAGCACACAUAUGUGAGGAAGCCGUUGAAUUCUGUUUUGAGUUUCUAUCUAGGCUUGACCAAUGGAAUAGGUUCAUUUAAGUCUCGAGAGGAAGGUCAAAUCGAAAGACUGUUAUCUGCAGGAUCGUCUAUUACACCUAGUCAAUUUCUACCAAAACAAGCCCAUCUACACAUAUUAUAAAACAUUGAAGAAGUUCAGUCGUAUAGAGAGUAGGAUUCAUUACCUUUGACCUGACAUUUUUCUCUUAUCUACAUUCUUUUAAAUAAAUGGUACUCACUACUUUGAUGACGACUAGCCUUACAUAAACGACAUAUGGAAAUCUUGAAAUCCACAAAGGGUGAGAAUUGAGAAGAAGAGAAGAAAUCAAUGAAACGCAAGAGGAGGGCAUGUAAGAACUCAGUGAUAGAAAUUUGUUUGGCGAUUAACAUCACCAGGUGAUAUAUCACACCAUCACGUGAAGAGAUUCACUAGAAGACAAGAAUGGUAGUUGGAGUUGAUGUGACUUGACACUACUAUUUUUAGCGCCGACAUGCACAAAAAAAGUAGAAGCUUCUCACCUAAAGCAGCCUAUAUAAAGCUUCUAUCUAUACCAAGAAGAAGUGAGGUUAGAAGUCUGAAUUGACCAGGCUGAAGGUCUGAAAGGACUAGAUUGGAGGUCUGAAUAGACCAAAACCUAAAGAGCUCCAUGAGAGUUAGAGGAAGAGACUAGCUCCUCCAUCUUUUAUAGAAGUUCUUCCUUCUCCCUUCUACACUAGUCAACCUCUGAGUGAGAGCUUAGAUAGAGACUAGAGAAAAGAAACCACCAUCUUCUCAACCUAACUUAUAAAAAAGCCAAAGAAUGCAACCCAAUGCAUUAUACGACUCGUCAUAUAUCUUUUCUUUCCAUUUUUGUACUUUAUGAUGUAUGGUAUGAAUGUUCUUCAUUUCAUUGUCAAAAGGUCUGCAUUGUCAAUACACUGCAUUUUAGUCCAUUGUCUCUCUUCCAUUCCCUUACUAUUCAUCUUGUUAAUGUUUUUAAGUAGUUUAAAGUUGAUGUCUGAUACUUAAUAAGGAUCCUUUAGUUAUAAGUCUCAUUGUGUUUAGUUGAGCUUAACUUAAGCACUCAUCCAGUGUUGGUCACUAACUGAUCGAGAGAGUAAUUAGCAAGGACGUGGCUAAACACGUAAGGAAGGAGUUUGGAAACAAACUCCCGGCUGGUGUUUUGACUUACAUCAUUUGUGUCCCAAAGGGUGAACAAGUGUGAUGAUUAGGCGUCAAAAGGCCGCUCACUAUAAAUAAGAGAGUCAAUGCGAUGCUUAUAAACAAGGAAGUCUAGAUGUAUAUCCCUUGACUUAUCUUUACUAUUUAUGUCCUAAAAGUAGAAUAAGUGUUGUGUUUAGGCAUCGAGAGGUUGCUCGCCUUAAAUAUAAGAUGGUCAAGAGAUCUAUAUCAUAUCGAGGAUAAGUCGUACAACUUAGAGCACCUAGAAUACUAAGGGGCCGUCUGAAGGAAGGGUUGGGUUAUGGAGGGUUAGGGUUAUGAUAAACCUAGUGUUAUGAUAAACCUAGGAUUAUGAUAAGAUGUGUUUGGGGGAAGAGUUAUGGAGGAAGUGUUAUGAUAAAAUGUGUUUGGGGGAAGGUUAUGAAGGAAGUGUUGUGAUAAUGUUUUGAUAAGAUGUGUUUGGGAGAAGGGUUACGUGGGUAGGGUUAUGAUAGAUUAAGGAAGAGUUGAAGAAGAGUUAAGGAAAAGUUGAAGAAGUGUUGAAGAAUGAUUGAGGAAAAGUUGAAGAAGGGUUAAGAAGUGUUGAAGAAGGGUUUGAGGAAGGGUUAAGGGGCUAAAACUAGGGUUACAUAAUCGUUCCCCCAAACGAGGGUUGGAUUACAUAACCCUUCCCCCAGACGAGGGUUGGAUUACAUAACCCUAACCCCCAUAACCCAACCCUUCCCCAAAACGCCCCCUAAGACUUUCCUUUAUCUUUCUUAAUGCAAGUUAGUCCAUUUUCCAUAAUCAUACCAUUUUCUGUCUCCUUCUAUAGAAUCUCUAGUGUAAAUAGUAGUUGUAAUACACACAUACAUAUUUUAUUGUAUGAAUAUUGUAUACCACCUGGAUAAGAAGUAGAUCUUAUCUUAUUAAAAUCUUAUCAGAUAAGGGGUCAUGUCCUAUCUGAUUCGAUUUUAUCUUUUAAUUUUUCAAAUUUCAAUUGUGUUUGAAAUUCGAGGUCUAUAAAUAGACUUCCAUGAUAAUGCAAAGCACAUCGCGAAAUAUUAUUGAGCUCUAAAAUACCAAGCUCCUAAUAUUCCGACUGCUUUCUUCUUGUAAUCUAACGAUCCUAGUUCUCUUUGCGGUUAGCAUUGAGCAAUUGGUAUCAGAACCAUCAAUAAAAGUUCAAAUUCCUUUCAAUUCGUUUUCAAAUUUCAUUUUCGGGGGAGGAGUUAGAUAAAUUUUAGUUCUCUUCAAUAAAUUUUAUUCUUCAAAUUUUGUUAAAUUCAAGAGAUUCAAUUUCGAAGAUCUAGAUUCUACGUUCGUGUCUAAGUUUGUGGUCCCGACAGUAAGACGCAAGGAAAUGCGGUGAGACCGUUGGUCAGCAGUAAUCCGUCUUAGCACAUACAUGUAUAGAUUCUUGAUCGAAGAAAUUUUAUUUCUAGAUUUAAUAAAAUUUUAAAAAAUAAAUAUUUAAAGUAUGAUAAUUUAAAUUUUCAAAUAUCUAAUUUCCUGAAAAAAAUUAUCCUCUAAAUCUUCUUCAAAAGAUCUUACUUAAAAAGAAAUUGAAGAGCAACAUACUGCUUCUUCUAGUGAAGGUGAUGUGACAAAUGAAUCAAUUCGUAUUGCAAAAGUAGAAAAUGAUUUUCUCAAUUGGGGAAUUCAAAACAAUUUAUUUUCAACAUACUUUCAAUUUCAAAGAAAAUCUUUGUGUAAAAAUUGUUGAAAGAAGAAUUCCAGUUUAUGAAAAAUUUGAUUCCAUACAAUUAUUUCCAAGAAAUGAUAUUAAAAAACAUUAAAAAGAAUUUUCAUUUCUUCAUAUAGAAGUUGUCCAAGUAGCUUUAAUUCCAAUGUUUAGAUCCGAACUAGAUACACCAGUCUUAGCAAUUUUACGCGAUAAAUGCCACAGAUUUUUCAAAUUCUUUAUUAGGAAUAAUUAAUCAAAUUUGGCCAAUGACCCUGUAUAUUUUAAUUGUUUUUCAAAUUUUAUGGUGUCUCUUGAUGACUCACGUAUUCUUAAAACCUUGAGCUUAGAUAUUACUGGCCAAGGAUUAAAUUUUGAAGAAGGAGUUAAAAAAUUAACCCUUGUUUAUAAAGUUACUUAUAAAGUUUUGACUAUUACCAUGCAUCCAAAAACUUUAUUGUCUUCAACAAAAGGAAAAACUAUGUAGAAACAAAUCUCAAUAAAUCAUCUGUUAGUGUUCCAAAACUCCUUUCUUGGGACGAAGUUACAAAAAAUCUUCGAUGGGUUUUAAACAACGCUUUUAUCCCUCAAAAGAAAGAAAAAGAAGUCUGUCAUAUCAUUGAGCAUCCUAAUGGGAAGGUUGAAAUCAAAUUUGAAAACGAAUCACCUAGGUUCCUUGUUGUUAAAGAAAUACCUCUCUCCUCAUUAACUUUUCCCAUCAAAUCAUCUUUUUAUCUUCCCAAAACAAUGUAUAUCCUUAAUAAUUAUAUUAUUUCAUAAUAUAAUUAUUUUAACUUCAAAUUCAAUUAAUUAUAUAAUUAUAUAUAUAUAAUUAAUCAUAAUUCUCUCAAAUACAAUUCUCCCAACUCCAUCAAAUAUAAAUCAACCAAAUUCCAACUAAUUAAUUAAAUAUUUUCCCAUGAAUAUCUAAUUAAGUUUGAUUUUUACAAAAUCAAACAACUCUAUAAUUAAAUCAAAUAAUGCCCAAAAUAAAUUCCACAAGCUUACAAUUAAGCUUAAGGUAAUUAAAUUAAAAAUUACCUUUGGAGCGUUACAAUCUUCCCUCCUUUGAGAAACUUUCGCCCUCGAAAGUUUUAAUCCUCGAACAGCUCGAGAUACUACGUUCUCAUGUCGUCCUCUCUCUCCCAUGUGGCCUCUUUAGCUCCGUAAUUUCGCCAAUGAACUUUGACCAAUGCAAUUCCUCUAUUGAGGAGCAUCUUGACCUCUCUUGCCAAAAUCUCAACGGGUUGCUCCUCAUAGCUCAGUUCUCAUUAAUUAGCAACGGUUUAAAGUCAACUACAUGCGUCGGGUCUACUACAUACUUUCUUAAUAUAGAGACAUGGAAUACAUCAUGGACUGCAAAAAAGGAUGAAGGCAACGCGAAACGAUAAGCUAUGGGACCAAUUCGCUCAUGUAUCUCAAAUGGCCCUACGAAACGCGUUCCUACAAUUUAUUUUAUUCAGGCAACUCCUUUGCUUUCAUACUAUUUUUCUUUUAAUGAAAUUUUGUAUUUGAAUAGUGGACUUUUUAUUUAUUUAUUUUUUUUAGUUUCUUAUGGAUUUUUACUACUUCAAAAACCAUUCUCACAAAGGACUCAAGAGCAGAACAGGUAAUUGAAUUACAGUAUUACGCUACAAUCCUUUUAUCUUUAUUUUUCUUUUUUUCUUGAUAAUGUUAUAUAAGCAUAAUAUACUUUUAUUAUACAUAACAGUGCAAUGUCUUCCUUCUCUUUUAGUUUGAGUUGUCAGUGUACCUUGGAGGUAAAUUGAGACUUCCUACUAUUACACUCUCAUGGCAAAGAAACAAUCAUCAAGAUAUAUGACGGCAAGUUCGAAUGAGUUACUUGAACCUGUAUCAAACUUUGAUAACUUGUUGAUGUUUAAGUAAUUUUGGUUACAAGUUUAUUAUUUUUAUUUUAUUAAUGAUAUUGAACAAAUUUUGUACGAAGUUGUUGAUACAUUUUGAUUUUGUUCAAUGUUAUAAUAUUUGUGAUUA